AAACUGACAGGUGUCUCAAGCAAGAAAGCAUUGGAAAGAAAGGUAUUGCCUUCUAAAGCCUUGCUGUAAAGACAGAACAUUACAGAAAUGUUUUGAUGAUAUAUUAAGUAUGAAGUUACAAAACUGCACACUUUGAGCUGCAAGAAAAUUUUUAUCUAAUUAUGAUCUGAAAAGUUUAGAUUACAUACUCAGUUUUUGGCAUCAAAUAAAUGUGAGGCACCUAUAAAAAAGCAGCAUUUCUCUAUAUAUUCCCUGUGGAGUACCAUUCAAUCUGUCAUCAACGAGGAAAGAAGCCUGAAGGCUGUCAUGGUGCUAGAAAAGGAGCUGAGAAUUCUACAUCUAUUUCCAAUCAACAGGAAGAGAGAGACUCUGGGCUGGAAAAUGCCUUUUGGAAAGUUAAAAUUCCAUCUCUAACGGCCCACAAGGCAGCAUCUAAUGCUUUCGAAUUGUGCCACUCCCUGGUGAUCAAGUGUUCAAAUCUAUGACAGUAUGAGGGCCAUUCUUACUCAAGCUGCUGCAUGUUACACCCAGGGCACCAUAGGUCUGUAGCCCUAUCAUACAAUAAAUAGAUUUUGUGAAACUUCAAA
rnacentral:lncRNA from 1 species